GCCAGGUGUGGUAGCACAUACCUGUAAUCCCAGCCACUUGGGAGGCUGAGGCAAGAGGAUAAUAAGUUUGAGGCCAACUUUAGGAACUUAGUGAGGUCCUCAGUAACUUGGUGAGAUCCUGUCUCAA
rnacentral:sRNA from 1 species